rnacentral:lncRNA from 1 species
GGUUCCAUUCCAGCUCUGCUGCUAUCUCUCUGACUCUGGGCAGGUCACUUAAUCACUACUGGGCCUUAAUCACUUUUGUAAAGUAGGGAACUGGAUUGGAUGUUCUCUAAUGCCUUUCAACUCUAACAUUUCAUGGUUCUAUGGUUUCCAGCCCAUCAAAUCAGCUCGAUUUUCCACUGUGAGUGCCAUAAAUGUUGGACACUAGGGGUCACAUUUAGAUAACCACUCAAACACAUCUGUCUGAGUCUGGUAAACAUGCCCCAUUUCCUUCAAUAGGUGGCUCUCAGCAGCUAGAUGAUGAUUGGUCUAGUUUCUCACUAAAAAUAUUCCUAAGUGGGAUUGUGUUGUUUCCCCUUCCAGUGGCUCAAAGAUUCUGGGGGGGAAGUGAGAAACUUUCCCUGAUUCAGGCUUUUCCCUCUGGGUUCAUGCUAUUUUCUCUUUUUCACACAGGAGCCCACAUCAGGCCAGUUGUUCAUUCAUGGCACAGAUAAAUUCUUCCUGAAGCUCUCAUAUUUUUACUCACUAAUACUCUUUCUUGGCUGCGUGAGUGAUACCCCCAAGUGGAUAACUUUUUAAAAAAUUAGAGUUGCCUUCAUGGAAAACCAUUUUUAAGAGCUCCUCAUUGAAUGAUCCAAAGUUCUUCCAUGAACUGUUUUUGUGAUCUAUUUGCUUUCAGGAGAAGUCACCUAGAGAGAUGGGCUCCUUCCCCAGUUUCUUCCCCAGGUGGUCUCUGUAGUCUUUCUUUAUCAUGGUCCAAAUUCGGCAUCCCUCCGUACAACCUCAGUCACAUUUGCCCCAUCUUAAUGUUCAAUUCUCAGUAAAGGUGGGGGAUUAAAACUGUUAGUCAACAUGGGGAAGGAAAAUGUUAUAAACCUUCCCAAUACUUAAUAGCAAUGUUUCCCUGCAUCUAUAUAGCUUCACAUUUUUCCAAGUGUUUUUACAUAUAUUAUUUCCUUUGAGUAUCAUUGUCCACCCUAAGGAAACCAGGAGUACCAUCACUGAAUAGAAUCCCCAUUAGCAGAGGCCACCAGAAGUAGGCAAGGGUUUGGCCCAGAGUUUGAAAGGUGGAGAAGUAGAAUGUUCAAAGGCAGAAAAAAAGUGAAAACAGUGUGAAGAACAGAAUUCAUUUACUCUCAUCCCAGAGCUGAGGGGAGAGGAAGAGUUGAGAUUGUAAUGAAGUUUUAAAAUAAGUAAGAUUGAUUUGGGAGUUCCCGUCGUGACUCAGUGGUUAACGAAUCUGACUAGGAACCAUGAGGUUGUGGGUUCGAUCCCUGGCCUUGCUCAGUGGGUUAAGGAUCUGUCUGGCGUUGCUGUGAGGUGUGGUGUAGGUCGCAGACGCAGCUCAGAUCCCUCCUUGCUGUGGCUCUGGUAUAGGCUGAUGGCUAUAGCUCUGAUUAGACCGCUAGCCUGGGAACCUCCAUAUGCCGCAGGAGCAGCCCUAGAAAAGGCAAAAAGACAAAAAUAAGUAAAUAAAUAAAUAAAUAAAAUAAGAUUGAGGAGAAGGAUCAAGAUGAUGGACAAGUAAGACCUCAUGCUCAAACACGUCAAAAAAAAAAUCUACAUGUAGAGUGAUUCACACAGAACAUCUACUGAGUGCUGGCAGAAGACCUUAAACCUUCAAAAAGGGCAAGAAACACUCCAUAUAACUGGGUAGUACAAAAGAAGAAAAAAAAGAGAGAGAGAAGGAAUCAGGAUGGGACUAGCACUCCUGAGAGGGAGCUGUUAAAGAGGAAAGGAACCCACACUCUGGGAAGCCACCAUGAUGGGGAGAUCAGAUGAGACAACUGAGGAGAAAAUAGCAGCAGCUGGGCUGAGAAGGGCAAAGCAGAGCGAGAGCUGCACAGAUUCAUCUGCAUCACUCACCCUGGACAGCACAGCCAGAGACUCUCGGGAGAGGGCUAGGCACUGAGACUCGGGCUCUGGAGUUUAGUUCCAGGGAGAAGACUAGGGUUGGCUGUGUGGAAACAGCCUGAGGAGCUAGGGAGUGGUGCGCUGAAUGCCACAGACAAGGGAACCCAGGAGGAGGUCUGGGCCUGGAGGAGAAGCCAGAUGCCAUUGUUGGUGGGGGCGAGAGGAGGACGGGCAGACCACCAUAGGAAUCUCUUUCCCUGGGCAUGUGCGGAUUCUCAAAUGGUGGCUGGUCAGCUCCCAAGGCAACAGAAACAAAAGCAAAAAUAAACCAAUGGGACCUAAUCAAACUGACAAGCUUUUGCACAGCAAAGGAAACCAUAAAAAAACCAAAAACCCAAAAGACAACCUACAGAAUGGGAGAAAAUAGUUUUAAAUGAUGCAGCUGACAAGGGCUUAAUCUUUAAAAUAUACAACUUAUACAACUCAACAGCAAAAAAGCCAACAACCCAAUUGAAAAAUGGGCAAAAGACCUGAAUAGACCUUUCUCCAAAGAAUAUAUAUAGAUGGCCACUAGGCACAUGAAAAAAUGCUCAACAUCACUAAUUAUUAGAGAAAUGCAAAUUAAAACUACUAUGAGGUAUCACCUCACACUGGUCAGAUGGCCAUCAUUAACAAGUCAGCAAGUAACAAAUGCUGGAGAGGGUGUGAAGAAAAGGAAAAGCACCUGCACUGUUGGUGGCAAUGUAAAUUGGUAUAACCACUAUGGAAAAUAGUGUGGAGUACCUCAGAAAACUAAGUAUAGAACUACCACAGGACCUGGCUAUCCCACUCUUGGGGCCUUUAUCCAGACAAAACUUUCAUUGAAAAAGAUGCAUGCCUGUAUGUUUAUUGCAGCAAUAUUCUCAGCAGCCAAGACAUGGAAAUAACCUAAGUGUCCAUCAACAGAUGAAUGGAUUAAGAAGAUGUGGUAUAUAUACACAAUGGAAUACUACUCAGCCACGAAAAGAACAAAAUGCCAUUUGCAGCAACAUGGAUAGAACUAGAGACUCUCAUACUAAGUGAAGUAAGUGAAAGAGAAAGACAAAUACCAUGGUAUCACAUAUCUGGAAUCUAAUAUAUGGCACAAAUGAACCUUUCCAUAGAAAAGAAAAUUAUUGACUUGGAGAACAGACUUGUGGUUGCCAAGGGAGAUGGGGAGGGAGUGGAAUGGACUGGGAGUUUGGGGUUAAUAGAUGCAAACUAUUGCAUUUGGAAUGGAUAAGCAAUGAGAUCCUGCUGUAUAGCACAGGGAGCUAUGUCCAGUCACUUGUGAUGGAACAUGAUGGAGGAUAAUGUGAGAAAAAGAAUAUGUGUGUGUGUGUGUGUGUGUGUGUGUGUGUGUGUGUGUGUGUGUGUGUGGCUGGGUCACUUUGCUAUACAGUAGAAAUUGACAGAACACUGUAAAUCAAUUAUAAUGGAAAAAAUUAAAAUCUUUUUUUUUUUUUGUCUUUUUAGGG